rnacentral:lncRNA from 1 species
CACUUUUUUUUCUUCCAGAAAAGAAACCCAAACACAGUAGCCUACAUCUCAACAAGGGUAUCCUUCUUCAAUUGUUUUCCUCGAAAACCCUCUGAGCUGCUGGCAUUUUGUUCUUCUUUGGAAUUAGAUCUGAAGCAAGCUCCUACCAUUUAUCAACCUGUGUUCAUGUUCAGAAGAACUUAGAAGGUCAGUAAAUGUGAGGAAGGGUUAACACAGUUGGAGACAGCAGAAAAAGAGGACGUAUCACAGCAGGAAGCCCGGACGCUGGGACCAUCUUCAUCUCACUACUGUCAUUGGUAUUUGAUGGGUUCUGGAGACAUUCUGGAUAUCCACCCAAAUUACAGUUCUGGCUGUGAAAAAGGCUCCGAAGAAUGACUGCAUAGUGGAAAAGGUAGUUUUUGGAAAGAAAAAAAUACAAGGCCAGGCAAAAUACUUCUCUAGGACAGGCUGCUUAAUAGUCAGUAAUACAAGAAACUGCAGGCCCAAAUGACAUUCACAGCACAUGGGUGUGGGCAUGAAAUUGACCAAAG